UAUUUUACAGAUGAGGAAAUGGAGGCUCAGAGAAGGGGCAGGAACUCACUUGGCAACUUGUAGGGUCACACCCCCAGAUUGUUGGAGAGCAAAGACCAGUAGCCCAUGGAGCAGACAGGUCCUGCAUAUUUCCAUUGAAGUCCUGCUCUAAUUCCUCCCUAUGUUGUAGGGAUGACCUUAGACUCUCAAAGACUGUGCCAAUGGAAUGAAAACACUGUCAAGUUGUACCGUGCUGGAAAGGCAUGCAUUGGCCCAGGUGUCUGCAUGUUUUCUAAGGUACAACUAAGUGUGGAGACGCUCGUCACCUCAAGGGCAACCAUCUAGGAUGGACUUUGCAAGUCAUAGCACCUCAUGGAAACAUUUACUGGGGCGUAAAGGGGCUGUGACCUGUGUUGGUGGAAGCGUAGGUUGCUUUCAAAGAAUGGUAGA